AUGUGCGUGUGUCCUUUAAGGAAGGGUUUAGGAGGAUGCAGCUUUUUUCCCAAAGGUUCUCCACCAGAUAAACACCACCCUCUCCACCCCGUUUUUUUCUGUGCUGAGCUCUUCUAAGGCUCUUUGGAAAGCAAAUUCUUCACUGCCUGAACCACCAGCGAAGCUGGCACACGGAACUGAAUAUGACCUUCUAAGGUGUCUGAGGAGAGCAUGGCAACCCACUCCACUAUUCUUGCCUGGAGAAUCCCAUGUACAGUCCAUGGGGUUGCAAAGAGUCGGACCUGACAGAAGUGAUGGAGCAUGGACACAUUUAUUG
ensembl:lncRNA